CCCUUAGAUGUUCUGGGCUGCACGCGCGCUACACUGAUGCGCUCAACGAGUUUUAACCUUGCCUGGAAAGGUUGGGUAAUCUUUUUAAAACGCGUCGUGAUGGGGAUAGAUUAUUGCAAUUAUUAAUCUUCAACGAGGAAUGCCUAGUAAACGCAAGUCAUCAGCUUGCAUUGAUUACGUCCCUGCCCUUUGUACACACCGCCCGUCGCUCCUACCGAUUGAACGUUCCGAUGAAUACCAUGGAUUGAGAGUCUGAAUGGGUUCGCCUAUUUCUGCUUCUCGAGAAGUGGAGUAAAUCUUAGCGUUUAGAGGAAGGAGAAGUCGUAACA
rnacentral:rRNA from 1 species